UAAAAGUUGUGAAUGUGUGAGUAUGUGUAUGUGUGAGGUAAAUGUUGUGAAUGUGUGAGUGUUGUAUGUGUGAGGUAAAAGUUGUGAAUGUGUGAGUGUUGUAUGUGUGAGGUAAAUGUUGUGAAUGUGUGAGUGUUGUAUGUGUGAGGUAAAUGUUGUGAAUGUGUGAGUGUUGUAUGUGUGAGGUAAAUGUUGUGAAUGUGUGAGUGUUGUAUGUGUGAGGUAAAUGUUGUGAAUGUGUGAGUGUUGUAUGUGUGAGGUAAAUGUUGUGAAUGUGUGAGUAUGUGUAUGUGUGAGGUAAAUGUUGUGAAUGUGUGAGUAUGUGUAUGUGUGAGGUAAAAGUUGUGAAUGUGUGAGUGUUGUAUGUGUGAGGUAAAUGUUGUGAAUGUGUGAGUGUUGUAUGUGUGAGGUAAAAGUUGUGAAUGUGUGAGUAUGUGUAUGUGUGAGGUAAAAGUUGUGAAUGUGUGAGUAUGUGUAUGUGUGAGGUAAAAGUUGUGAAUGUGUGAGUAUGUGUAUGUGUGAGGUAAAAGUUGUGAAUGUGUGAGUAUGUGUAUGUGUGAGGUAAAAGUUGUGAAUGUGUGAGUAUGUGUAUGUGUGAGGUAAAAGUUGUGAAUGUGUGAGUAUGUGUAUGUGUGAGGUAAAAGUUGUGAAUGUGUGAGUAUGUGUAUGUGUGAGGUAAAAGUUGUGAAUGUGUGAGUAUGUGUAUGUGUGAGGUAAAAGUUGUGAAUGUGUGAGUAUGUGUAUGUGUGAGGUAAAAGUUGUGAAUGUGUGAGUAUGUGUAUGUGUGAGGUAAAAGUUGUGAAUGUGUGAGUAUGUGUAUGUGUGAGGUAAAAGUUGUGAAUGUGUGAGUAUGUGUAUGUGUGAGGUAAAAGUUGUGAAUGUGUGAGUAUGUGUAUGUGUG